rnacentral:rRNA from 1 species
UACGAGUGGUCCAAGCGUUAUCCGGAAUUAUUGGGCGUAAAGGAUGUGUAGGUGGUUAUGUUAGUCUGGUGUCUAACCUCUGAGCUCAACUUGGAGACAGCAUUGGAAACGGCAUGGCUAGAGUAUGUGAGGGGUAAGCGGAACUAAUGGUGUAGGGGUGAAAUCCGUUGAUAUUAUUGGGAACACCAAAAGCGAAGGCAGCUUACUGGCACAUUACUGACACUGAAACAUGAAAGCGUGGGGAGCAAACAGG